rnacentral:misc_RNA from 1 species
AUUUAAGAAAUAAGGGAUACAUGCACGCAUAUAUCAAUUUGGUGCUUUCUUUUUGUUUGUUAUCUCUUCUUAUUCCCACUCCCACUAUCAAUGUUGACGACUUCUAUACGUAUCUCUUAAGUUGUGGGCUAUAGCUUAUUUUGCAUUUGUAUUUGCUCGAAAAUUUGUUUUGUUAGUUUACUUUCAGGUACAUUCAAUAACUAUUAAGCAAGCA